CCUACGGGGGGCAGCAGUGAGGAAUAUUGGUCAAUGGACGAGAGUCUGAACCAGCCAAGUCGCGUGAGGGACGACUGCCCUAUGGGUUGUAAACCUCUUUUAUAAGGGAAGAAUAAAUGCUACGUGUAGCAUGAUGCCUGUACCUUAUGAAUAAGCAUCGGCUAACUCCGUGCCAGCAGCCGCGGUAAUACGGAGGAUCCGAGCGUUAUCCGGAUUUAGUGGGUUUAAAGGGAGCGUAGGGGGAUUGUUAAGUCAGUUGUGAAAGGUUGCGGCUCAACCGUAAAAUUGCAGUUGAAACUGGCAGUCUUGAGUACAGUAGAGGUGGGCGGAAUUCGUGGUGUAGCGGUGAAAUGCUUAGAUAUCACGAAGAACUCCGAUUGCGAAGGCAGCUCACUGGACUGCAACUGACACUGAGGCUCGAAAGUGUGGGUAUCAAACAGGAUUAGAUACCCUUGUAGUC
rnacentral:rRNA from 1 species